UCUUGGGCAAGUCUCUUAAACUUUUUGAGCCUAUGUUUACUGUCUGUCAAAUGGAAUUAAGUGUAAUUCCUCUCUCAUGGUCCUAGGCAACUUCAGUUAAGAAGGGUCCUCUGGAAUAUGAAAAAGACUACAUGGGAGAAGGACCAGCAUAAAGCAAUGUUUACUAAUGCUGAGCAUUUCAGGUCACAUAGGAGAGUGAUCAGCACGUCUUGGGAGCACAGUAGACACAGGUUAAGGAGAACCCCUGCCUGUAGUCUCCCAAUCAAAUCAUAGGUAGGUAUCAAGCAGACAGCUAGUUAUUUUUGGUUAUUUAUUUAUUUAUUUAUUUUUGUAGAGAUGGAGCCUCCCUAUGUUGCCCAACCUGGUCUCAAUCUCCUGGCCUCAAGCGAUACUCCCACCUCAGCCUCCCAAGCACUGGGAUUACAGGCAUGAGCCACCACGUCCAGUAAGAGCUAGUUCUCAGAGUGAGAGGGAGUCAGACAAUUGUUCUUUCCAUUAAAUGUUAUCUUAACUGAUCUUAUCACUAAACAUAUCAAUUUUGGAGAAUUAAGUGGCAGCAGGUAUGGAGACAAGAGUGAAGUUAUGGGCCUCUAAUGGUGAGAAGAAGGGAAGCAAAAAAUUCUA
rnacentral:lncRNA from 10 species